rnacentral:rRNA from 1 species
AUACGUAGGUGGCGAGCGUUGUCCGGAAUUACUGGGCGUAAAGGGUGCGUAGGCGGAUAAUCAAGUCAGAUGUGAAAGUCCAUGGCUUAACUGUGGGAGUGCAUUUGAGACUGAAGAUCUAGAGUGCAGGAGGGGGAAGCGGAAUUCCUAGUGUAGCGGUGAAAUGCGUAGAUAUUAGGAGGAACACCAGUGGCGAAGGCGGCUUUCUGGACUGUAACUGACGCUGAAGCACGAAAGCGUGGGGAGCAAACAGGAUUAGAUACCCUGGUAGUCCACGCCGUAAACGAGGAGUAUUAGGUGUAGGGGACGAUAGUCUUCUGUGCCGGAGCAAACGCAAUAAAUACUCCGCCUGGGGAGUACGGUCACAAGACUAAA